rnacentral:misc_RNA from 1 species
AACGCACAUUGCGCCCGCCAGUAUUCUGGCGGGCAUGCCUGUCCGAGCGUCAUUUCAACCCUCGAGCCCCUCCGGGGGGUCGGCGUUGGGGAUCGGCCCUCCCUCGCGGGGGCCGGCCCCGAAAUGCAGUGGCGGUCUCGCCGCAGCCUCUCAUGCGCAGUAGUUUGCACAACUCGCACCGGGAGCGCGGCGGGCCCACGCCGUAAAACAGCCCAACCUUCUGAAAUGUUGACCUCGGAUCAGGUAGGAAUACCCGCUGAACUUAA